CCUACGGGAGGCAGCAGUGGGGAAUUUUGCGCAAUGGGCGAAAGCCUGACGCAGCGACGCCGCGUGAGGGAUGAAGGUCCUAGGAUUGUAAACCUCUGUCAGGAAGCAUUAAAUGCACGGGUAUCAACACCAUCCGUGCUUGACCUAACUUCCAGAGGAAGCCCCGGCUAACUACGUGCCAGCAGCCGCGGUAAUACGUAGGGGGCAAGCGUUACUCGGAUUUAUUGGGCGUAAAGAGAAUUAAGGCGGUCAUGUAAGUCAGCGGUGAAAUCCCCCGGCUCAACUGGGGAACUGCCUUUGAUACUGCGUGACUUGAGGACAGGAGAGGAAGGCGGAAUUCCCGGUGUAGCGGUGGAAUGCGUAGAUAUCGGGAGGAACACCUGAGGCGAAGGCGGCUUUCUGGACUGGUCCUGACGCUGAUAUUCGAAAGCUAGGGGAGCAAACAGGAUUAGAUACCCUGGUAGUCCUAGCUGUAAACGAUGGAUACUAGAUCUUGCAUGAUUUUGCUUGGUCGAAGCUAACGCGUUAAGUAUCCCGCCUGGGGAGUACGGUCGCAAGGCUGAAACUCAAAUGAAUUGACGGGCCC
rnacentral:rRNA from 1 species